CAGCAGCCGCGGUAACACGGAGGGUGCAAGCGUUAAUCGGAAUUACUGGGCGUAAAGCGCACGCAGGCGGUCUGUCAAGUCAGAUGUGAAAUCCCCGGGCUUAACCUGGGAACUGCAUUUGAAACUGGCAGGCUAGAGUCUUGUAGAGGGGGGUAGAAUUCCAGGUGUAGCGGUGAAAUGCGUAGAGAUCUGGAGGAAUACCGGUGGCGAAGGCGGCCCCCUGGACAAAGACUGACGCUCAGGUGCGAAAGCGUGGGGAGCAAACAGGAUUAGAUACCCGUGUAGUCCCUGUCUCUUAUAC
rnacentral:rRNA from 1 species